rnacentral:lncRNA from 1 species
UUCCAGUUAAUUACAAAUUAAAGUGAGUUAUUUUAAUUGAAAAAUAAGUACUUCUACCUAUCAUUUCUCCAAUAUUGACUACAUAGUCCAUCAAUCUUGUGCAGCAAAAAAGGUUGUGUAAUACAUGACAGUCUAGCUUUUAAGUUGGGUAAUUCCUCACACAUCAUGCCAGUUAUCGUCAAUUAAUUAUCAUUUCACUAUUGAAAGAUGAAGUGGUGGCAUUUUGCUUUUUAAUUUAAAAAAAAAUGAUUUGUA